UGAUUCGGGGGUGGGCAUCAGCGUGUGAAAUCGACUACAGAGGAUUCGGGCCUGGGGCAUCGCAUCUUCCUGCUGGUGGAAAGCCUGUGUCCCCUCGAGGCUGGUGCGGAUUCUGGCAAGGACAGAGUUUCUCAGCACUUUUUCAUUGCGUGUGUAUUCUUUAGAAUCGCGUAUAUUCUUCAGUAAUGCUCCGAAAUCUCUGCUCACUCCAGAAGUCCAGAUACAGUGCAUCACGUAAUUUUCUUGUUUAGUUGCCAUUAGCCAACUUCACAGAAUUCAAGUUGGAUUUAUUUGAACGGCAAUGUCUCGAGCUUUUGGGGAGCAACAGUAAUUACAAGCUUAGCUAGCGCCAUACCAACACUUUGCCAUUGUGGGGAUUUGCAUCCCACCUCUACCCCAAUGUCACAAGUAAAAUUAUUGUGAUUAUCGAUCUGAUGACAUGAGUAAUUUAACUUCUGUUCUGUGUUUCAUGUUGUCUGGAGCAAUGCUUGGCUCCUAGCAGUUUCCAGAUGAUUUAUUUCCAUUGCAAUGAGAACGACUAUCAAUAUUUGCUGAAUUUUUGGUAGACUCAACCCACAAAUCAAGAGGACUUAACCCUCUUCUCCUUGAUCUCCUUGAUAGUCCAGCAAUCAGCAAGUUGAAAAGAUUUAAAUCAAGGUUCCAUGAUAAUUCUUUUGAAUCUCCCUGUAAGGUAGGCUUUUCAGAUAUUCCAUUUCAAACUAAAGGGCUUGACAGACCAGUUUUUAUCCGGAAGAAAGGCCUUUAGCGUGCGUUUGGAUCUGAAGAAACAAAGCAAGAUAUGGCUGUCAUUCCUCCUAACUUGGCUAGUUACUAGUAUCUCCUUGAUCCUUUGAUAAGAUGAGCUGAACAUAUUCAAGGUUUCUAGCGGGAAUCACUUCUUCGUGGCCAUUCUGGUGAUAAUGGUUGUACUCCAGGUAAAAAAACAAAUAGUAUAAUUCUUCUAUUCGACAUAUGUAGUAGUUUCGGUUAUUGUUAUAUGUUGUUUCCUUCGUAUGUAUAUGCAAAGCUCUUAUCAUCGAGUUUCCUUGGCAAGUUAACUUCAACAAUCAUGUUAAGCUGGCAGCUAUAUGGUUGGUACUGAUGAGAGUUGCUCAUUUAGCUGCUGAUAAUCCUAGAAUUGUAAAGAUAAGGCGGGCGAACCUUAUUUGUGUGGUGGAUGCAAUUAUGUUAUGAGGUCAAUUUGUAACUUAUUAUACUACAGUUAUGGACCAAGCCAUGAAUCAGUACCAAAAUUCAGGAUUGGUGAGAAGAAACGUGAACUUAUAAUGUUUUUAGUACCCUAAUCUUGACUUGUCGCUGAUGGACCACAAUGUUCAAGCUCGGCACAUACUGUUGAACAGCUAAAAAUAUUGGAUCUCAAGGCACCUGCAAACUAAGCCGCUGGAAGAAAGUUCAGAGGUGUGUUGAGUCUUGGCAUUCCCAAGUAAUCAUUGGUGUUCAUUUUUGAAAUACUGCUUUGUACUCCCUCCGUAACAAGAUGUAAGACGUUUUUAUACCCUAUGCAAACCAAAAAAGUCUUUACAUUUUGGUACAAAGGUUGUAGUUUUAUUUCCCUGUAGCUGGUUACUGAGUGGCAUGCAGUAGAUUAGAUGAAGCAUGUGAGUGAGGAUUUGACAUGUAAGCGGCAAUCAACGAUGCAAGUCGUGACAGUAGUCGAUGUAAAGCGACAAUCAUCAUGUGCGGAGGUCAUGAGAGGAGUCGUUAAAGAGCGACCAUCACGGCCAGCAGAAGACGAGCACCAAGAACUGCAGAAAGGUGUAUGCGAGACGGGGCCUGUGUAAGGGAUACCGCCAAGAGUGGGCAGCAAGGGAGAUGUGUACCGGACGAACGCACUGUACUUAAUAUUUAUUUUUUUACUUGAAAAUCAGAAGCAGUCAGCGGAGCCAGCACCAAGGGGUCAAAGCAGGGAGCGAAGCAUAAUCGAGCGACCUUCACGGCAGGAUCCAACAGGUAGCGCCGAGCUGCAGGUGGGGUGGAGAGAUGCACAACAGGGCAGGAGCGGACUCCUUGUGUUGCAACGACAUGAAUGUGGGCUGCCGUGUUAGGAUCAAACAGUGGAUGGACGAGAUGGCUGCAUGCGACGACCCAGAAGACGGCGUCACGCACGAGCGGCUCCACUCGAUCGAGGCGGUCCUAUGGAUGGGAGGCUGGAUCGCGAGCGGAUUGGACAGAAGAUCUGGGCCGCGCUGGAGGUCGAUCUUUUGAUCUUGUAACAAACAGACACAUUGUAUCUCUACCAUUUUGUAAUACAAAACAAAGUAGGAGUAGGAUAUUACAUC